UGGCGGAGCCAGAAAAAUAGGAUAAGGAGAGCCGGGUAUUGUUAAACUUUGUUGGGGUGAGCCAAUCUAUCAAAAACACCCAUUUUAGCAAAAAAAAUGCUGCUACUAUUCAUAUAUUAGGCCUAAAUCACAGGUGUUAGGGGGGCUGGUCCGAGAGGAUGAUCAGCCACACUGGGACUGAGACACGGCCCAGACUCCUACGGGAGGCAGCAGUGGGGAAUUUUCCGCAAUGGGCGAAAGCCUGACGGAGCAAUGCCGCGUGGAGGUGGAAGGCCUACGGGUCGUCAACUUCUUUUCUCGGAGAAGAAACAAUGACGGUAUCUGAGGAAUAAGCAUCAGCUAAGGGCCCUGGCUCGCACCCCCCUGUCUCCGCCGUUGCCA
rnacentral:ncRNA from 1 species